rnacentral:misc_RNA from 1 species
AAGAACGCUUGAUGGCUGAAGUCGUGAGUAGUCACAGCCGGUUCCUUCGGGUUAGGCCGUGGGCGCGGAGCCAAAGUGUAGCAGCAACCUCCCGGCGGCCGUGUGGCGCAGGUUGGGGCGCCAUGGGAUCUACCUGGCACAAGAACGUCCACAACCAAGG